GACGAACGCUGGCGGCGUGCCUAAUACAUGCAAGUCGAACGCAGUGGGGCCGGGUGAGUAACCCGUGGGUAACCUCCCCUCCGGGGGGAUAACACUUGGCAACAGGUGCUAAACCGAUACUGAUGGAUGGACCCGCGGUGCAUUAGCUAGUGGGUGAGGUAACGGCUAACCAAGGCCACGAUGCGUAGCGGGCCUGAGAGGGUGAUCGGCCACACUGGAACUGAGACACGGCCCAGACUCCUACGGGAGGCAGCAGUAGGGAAUCUUGGGCAAUGGACGAAAGUCUGACCGAGCAACGCCGCGUGAGUGAAGAAGGUUUUCGGAUCGUAAAACUCUGUUGGUAGGGAGGCGGUAUCUAACCAGAAAGCAACGGCUAACUACGUGCCAGCAGCCGCGGUAAUAC
rnacentral:rRNA from 1 species